rnacentral:misc_RNA from 1 species
AUUUUAGUCGGGUUAAGUAGUGCCGAAGUUUCAUUAUCAGAAGUCGUGGUACGAGUUUAACAUCAGUCUUUGAAUGACAGCUAGAACUGGUGACUAAGGUGCGACUGGGACUUGGAAUCAAUUGGAAGAAAACACAGGAGGAGAAGAGAAUUCGUUCAUCAAAAUGGAUCUGGACCCAACAACAUCCAUACCAGCGUUCUACGCGGGCCGAAGUAUAUUUAUUACGGGUGGUACGGGUUUCAUGGGAAAAGUGCUGAUCGAAAAAUUGUUAAGAUCAUGUCCCGCCGUAGAGGAAAUAUUUCUAUUGAUGCGGCCGAAGAAGAAUAGCACCAUAGACGCCAGGUUAAAGGAAAUGCUAACUUCGCCGCUAUACGAUAAGCUGAGGAAAACGAAUCCCUCGGCCUUCAAAAAACUGAUACCAGUAGCAGGCGAUGUGGCGGAAGAAGGCCUGGGAUUACCGCCGGUAGAGCGAAGGGUUCUAAUCGAAAAAGUUUCGAUAGUAUUCCACGUCGCUGCCAACGUCAGAUUCGACGAUCCCCUGAAGCACGCUGUUCUCAUGAACACCAGAGGCACACGGGAGGUCUGCAUUUUGGCAGCGAGCAUGAAGAAGCUAGUGGUUCUCCUACACGUGAGCACCACUUAUGGAAAUACCGACAGACCGGUUAUCGAGGAGGUUUUAUACCCGGCUCACACCGAUUGGAAAAAGGCGAUUAAAAUUGUAGAAAACACAGACGAGAACAUUCUCAACAUCAUGACGUCAAAGUUCCUCGGUAAACUGCCAAACACGUACACCUUCACCAAGCAAUUGGCCGAGCACGUUAUCAAUGAGUACGCCGGAAUCAUUCCCUGUGUAAUAUUCAGGCCGUCGGUUGUUGUAGCGACACUAGAGGAGCCGAUGCCGGGAUGGAUGGACAACUUCAACGGUCCUGUGGGACUCAUGAUUGGCGGGGGCAAAGGUGUUCUAAAGUCAGUCUACGGUAAACCUGACCUCGUAGUGGACUUCAUACCGGUAGACGUGGCCAUAAAAUCAUUGCUCGUAAGCGCCUGGCAAAGAGGGAUAACACCUAUAACGCGGGACCCCAGCGUCCCAGUCUACAACUGUUCAUCGAACGGUAUAAGGGCGGUCACAACCAAAGACAUGAUUAAUCUGGCACUUGAAUCUGUCGCCGAGAUUCCCCUUGAAGGAUGUAUCUGGGUUCCCAACACCACCAUGUACUCCAACAUAUUUAUUUACUACCUGACUGUCUGGAUAUUUCAUGUUAUUCCAGCCGUGAUUAUCGACACUGUGCUCAAGAUAAGCGGCGCGAAGCCCAGGCUCUUGAGAUUGCACAGGAAAAUUUACACGGCAAACUUUGCAUUGACGCAUUUUUUGAAGGAGAAAUUUACAUUCGAACAUGCAAAACUACUGGGAUUAAACGACAUGGUGCCAGAGUUAGAUCGAGCGGACUUCAACGUUGAUAUUGGAAAAUUCGGAAUAAAGGAUUACUUCAGAGAGUGUUUAAUUGGGAGCAAGAUGUACCUCCUGAAGGAAGACAUGAAUAAAGUAGCCGAAGCUAAGGCCCACUAUGACAAGUAUGCAAUUAUUGACGAUAGUCCGAUGAGCUGGACGCGAUUUAAAAAUUCUUAAGAUGUUACGUGGUCACAGAGGCAAAUGACGAAAGUGAGAUAGAGAUGUUUAUAUAAUUUUGUACCGAGUAAAGAAUUCGAAUGACCGUAGGCAACAACUGUCGCGACAACUUUAUACCAUCACGAGAGAUCUUCAAGGUCACUCACUACGAAUGAGAAAAUAUAUUUCCAAAAAACAAACUGGCGGACUCAGAAUGGACGACUGGUUUAUGACAAAAUUAUUUAAUUUGUACAGAAUUCGGU